rnacentral:tRNA from 1 species
UGUGGCUCAAUGGUAGAGCACUUGCCCCAGAUGUAUGAGGCCCUGGGUUCGAGCCUCAGCA